UACGUAGGGGGCAAGCGUUACCCGGAUUCACUGGGCGUAAAGCGCGUGUAGGCGGCUGGCCAAGCGUGGUGUGAAAUCUCCGGGCUCAACCCGGAAACUGCACUGCGAACUGGCCUGGCUGGAGUGCAGGAGAGGGAUGCGGAAUUCACGGUGUAGCGGUGAAAUGCGUAGAUAUCGUGAGGAACACCAGUGGCGAAGGCGGCAUCCUGGCCUGUAACUGACGCUGAGACGCGAAAGCGUGGGGAGCGAACCGG
rnacentral:rRNA from 1 species